UGGGACUCUGCAGAGGGUCCCCAUAAGAGGAAGGCCCCGACUAGAUGGAAUCCUUUGUCCCUGGACUUCUCAGCCUCCAGAACUGAUUCCCCAGGAUCAACCAUCUGAGCAGAUACCUUGGAAUGUCCCCAGAUUUCAGAGCCUCGGACCAGCAGCAACACACUCUGAAGUAGGUCUCAGAAGACAAAAAGCUGAAAUCAACUCAUGCUUCCUGCUACACAGAAUCCACUGAGAGGAAAAGGAAACUUCACCGAAACUUCAGAAAGCUACAGAAAUGACAUCCAUUUUCACAAUCCCAGAAGGAAAGAUGCAUCUGAAGGGAAUAAAAACAGAGCAAUGGAAGAGUAUUUGUUAAAAUAAAUGGCUUUGACAGG
rnacentral:lncRNA from 1 species